CUCAGUGGUUAAGAUGUUAGCCUACUGAGUGGAAGGUUAUGAAUUCAAACCCCAAUGCUGCCAAGAUGUCACUUUUGGGCCCUUGAGUAAGGCCCUUAACCUUCAACUGCUCAGAUAUAUAAAUUUUAUUUUGCGGCACACUGAUCAGAGGGUCGCACAGGUCUCAUGGAUCACGCUGGGAUCAAUUAGGUGAAUUGGGACGUGUUACGUUCUUCAGUGGUGUGUGCCAGGCUACCCGAGAUCCUGAUCCUUUCUGCUCUCCGGACCUGCCUGAUCCGUUUCGGAUGUCCUACCUCUGGAUGGAGCUCUCAUCUACUCCAAUUCCAGACUGCUGGGACUACGGCUGCUUCUAAGGCCAUACAGACUUCAUAUAAAUCCAUAAUGAACUUUUUCACACUAUCUGUUGUUACCCAGAUGAGGAUGGGUUCCCUUCUGAGUCCGGUUCCUCUCAAGGUUUCUUCCUCUUAACAUCUUAGGGAGUUUUUCCUCGCCACCGGCUUGCUCAGUUGGCAUAAAUUCGCACCUUUAAUAUCUAUAUACUGUGUUGAUAUUUCUGUAAAGCUGCUUUGAGACAAUGUCUAUUGUAAAAAGCGCUAUACAAAUAAAAUUGAA